rnacentral:rRNA from 1 species
CUCUUGACAUCCAGAGAACUUAGCAGAGAUGCUUUGGUGCCUUCGGGAACUCUGAGACAGGUGCUGCAUGGCUGUCGUCAGCUCGUGUUGUGAAAUGUUGGGUUAAGUCCCGCAACGAGCGCAACCCUUAUCCUUUGUUGCCAGCGGUUCGGCCGGGAACUCAAAGGAGACUGCCAGUGAUAAACUGGAGGAAGGUGGGGAUGACGUCAAGUCAUCAUGGCCCUUACGAGUAGGGCUACACACGUGCUACAAUGGCAUAUACAAAGAGAAGCGACCUCGCGAGAGCAAGCGGACCUCAUAAAGUAUGUCGUAGUCCGGAUUGGAGUCUGCAACUCGACUCCAUGAAGUCGGAAUCGCUAGUAAUCGUAGAUCAGAAUGC